AUCGCUUCUCGUCGGCCUUUUGGCUAAGGGUAAGCAGAUCUGUUCUUACUGGAUAUGACCUCUGAGGAUAACAUAAUGUAUUACAUAGAUUUUUCAAAGUACAAGAUGGAGUAGGUGCUUGCUCUGCCCCUCCGCGCAUAGACCUGGUGCUGCAGUACCUCCAGGAAUGGCGCGCAGUGU
rnacentral:snRNA from 1 species